GGGUUUGUGGCUCAAGUGGUAGAGCACCUGUCUUGCAAGCAGGAGACAGCCCAUUCAAUCCCU
rnacentral:tRNA from 1 species